rnacentral:ribozyme from 1 species
CUUGCAUGUAAUGGCUAUAGCAGAAAUGUUCACAACUUGGCCCCUGUCAGAUUCCAGAGAAUCUGCAAAUUCUGCU